rnacentral:rRNA from 1 species
AGUGAACGCUGGCGGUAGGCCUAACACAUGCAAGUCGAACGGCAGCACAGUAAGGGCUUGCUCUUACGGGUGGCGAGUGGCGGACGGGUGAGGAAUACAUCGGAAUCUACUUUUUCGUGGGGGAUAACGUAGGGAAACUUACGCUAAUACCGCAUACGACCUACGGGUGAAAGCAGGGGAUCUUCGGACCUUGCGCGAUUGAAUGAGCCGAUGUCGGAUUAGCUAGUUGGCGGGGUAAAGGCCCACCAAGGCGACGAUCCGUAGCUGGUCUGAGAGGAUGAUCAGCCACACUGGAACUGAGACACGGUCCAGACUCCUACGGGAGGCAGCAGUGGGGAAUAUUGGACAAUGGGCGCAAGCCUGAUCCAGCCAUACCGCGUGGGUGAAGAAGGCCUUCGGGUUUUAAAGCCCUUUUGUUGGGAAAGAAAAGCAGCAGGUUAAUACCCCGCUGUUCUGACGGUACCCAAAGAAUAAGCACCGGCUAACUUCGUG